CCUACGGGUGGCAGCAGUGAGGAAUAUUGAGCAAUGGGCGCAAGCCUGACUCAGCAACGCCGCGUGGGCGAUGAAGGCCUUCGGGUUGUAAAGCCCUUUUCUGGGGGACGAGGAAGGACGGUACCCCAGGAAUAAGUCACGGCUAACUACGUGCCAGCAGCCGCGGUAACACGUAGGUGGCGAGCGUUAUCCGGAUUCACUGGGCGUAAAGCGCGUGCAGGCGGUUCCGUAAGUCGGACGUGAAAGCUCCUGGCUUAACUGGGAGAGGCCGUUCAAUACUGCGGGACUUGAGGUCGGGAGAGGGACGUGGAAUUCCCGGUGUAGUGGUGGAAUGCGUAGAUAUCGGGAGGAACACCAGUGGCGAAGGCGGCAUCCUGGCUCAUAACUGACGCUGAGUCGCGAAAGCGUGGGGAUCAAACAGGAUUAGAUACCCUGGUAGU
rnacentral:rRNA from 1 species